rnacentral:rRNA from 1 species
GACGAACGCUGGCGGCGUGCCUAAUACAUGCAAGUCGAACGAGAGCGACCGGUGCUUGCACUGGUCAAUCUAGUGGCGAACGGGUGAGUAACACGUGGGUAACCUGCUCAUCAGAGGGGGAUAACAUCCGGAAACGGAUGCUAAAACCGCAUAGGUCUUCGAGCCGCAUGGCUUGAAGAGGAAAAGAGGCGCAAGCUUCUGCUGAUGGAUGGACCCGCGGUGCAUUAGCUAGUUGGUGAGGUAACGGCUCACCAAGGCCGUGAUGCAUAGCCGACCUGAGAGGGUGAUCGGCCACAUUGGGACUGGGACACGGCCCAAACUCCUACGGGAGGCAGCAGUAGGGAAUCUUCCGCAAUGGACGCAAGUCUGACGGAGCAACGCCGCGUGAGUGAAGAAGGUUUUCGGAUCGUAAAACUCUGUUGUUAGAGAAGAACAAGUGCUAGAGUAACUGUUAGCGCCUUGACGGUAUCUAACCAGAAAGCCACGGCUAACUACGUG